rnacentral:rRNA from 1 species
GACGAACGCUGGCGGCGUGCUUAACACAUGCAAGUCGAACGGUGAAGCGCCUUCCUUUUUGGUGGGUGUGGAUGAGUGGCGAACGGGUGAGUAACACGUGAGUAACCUGCCCCCUUCUUCUGGAUAACCGCAUGAAAGUGUGGCUAAUACGGGAUAUUCUGGGUCUGUCGCAUGAUGGGUCUGGGAAAGAUAUUGUUUCGGUGGGGGAUGGGCUCGCGGCCUAUCAGCUUGUUGGUGGGGUGAUGGCCUACCAAGGCGGUGACGGGUAGCCGGCCUGAGAGGGUGGGGGGCCAAACGGGGACAGAGCCACCGCCGGGACUCGAAGGGGGGCAGGGGGGGGGAAUUAGGGCAAAGGGGGCGAAGGCCUGAGGCGGCGCCGCGGGGUGGGGGAGGGGGGCCUGGGGGUGGUGAACUUCUUUCGCAGGUGAAGCAGCCCCGCCUUGUUUGUGGGGGGGUUGACGGUAGCUGAAAAAGAAGCGCCGGCUAACUACGUG